rnacentral:rRNA from 1 species
GACGAACGCUGGCGGCGUGCCUAAUACAUGCAAGUAGGACGCAGUUGCGAACGGGUGAUUAACGCGUAGGUAACUGCCUAUUAGAGGGGGAUAACUAUUGGAAACGAUAGCGAAUACCGCAUACUAGUAGAUGGACCUGCGUUGUAUUAGCUAGUAGGUAGGGUAAUGGGCUACCUAGGCAACGAUACAUAGCCGACCUGAGGUGGUGAUCGUCCACACUGGGAAUGGGAACCGGCCCAGAAUCCUUCGGGAGGCAGCAGUAGGGAAUUUUCGGCAAUGGGGGGAACCCGUACCGAGCAACGGCGCGGGAGUGGAGAAGGUUUUCGGAUCGUAAAGCUCUGUUGUUAAGGAAGCGGUACUUAACCAGAAAGGGACGGCUAACUACGUGCCAGCAGCCGCGGUAAUAC